GAUGAACGCUGGCGGCGUGCCUAAUACAUGCAAGUCGAGCGAACAGACGAGGAACUUGCUCCUCUGACGUUAGCGGCGGACGGGUGAGUAACACGUGGAUAACCUACCUAUAAGACUGGGAUAACUUCGGGAAACCGGAGCUAAUACCGGAUAAUAUAUUGAACCGCAUGGUUCAAUAGUGAAAGACGGUUUUGCCGUCACUUAUAGAUGGAUCCGCGCCGCAUUAGCUAGUUGGUAAGGUAACGGCUUACCAAGGCGACGAUGCGUAGCCGACCUGAGAGGGUGAUCGGCCACACUGGAACUGAGACACGGUCCAGACUCCUACGGGAGGCAGCAGUAGGGAAUCUUCCGCAAUGGGCGAAAGCCUGACGGAGCAACGCCGCGUGAGUGAUGAAGGUCUUCGGAUCGUAAAACUCUGUUAUUAGGGAAGAACAAAUGUGUAAGUAACUAUGCACGUCUUGACGGUACCUAAUCAGAAAGCCACGGCUAACUACGUG
rnacentral:rRNA from 1 species